GAUGAACGCUGGCGGCGUGCCUAAUACAUGCAAGUCGAGCGAACGGACGAGAAGCUUGCUUCUCUGAUGUUAGCGGCGGACGGGUGAGUAACACGUGGAUAACCUACUUAUAAGACUGGGAUAACUUCGGGAAACCGGAGCUAAUACCGGAUAAUAUUUUGAACCGCAUGGUUCAAAAGUGAAAGACGGUCUUGCUGUCACUUAUAGAUGGAUCCGCGCUGCAUUAGCUAGUUGGUAAGGUAACGGCUUACCAAGGCAACGAUGCAUAGCCGACCUGAGAGGGUGAUCGGCCACACUGGAACUGAGACACGGUCCAGACUCCUACGGGAGGCAGCAGUAGGGAAUCUUCCGCAAAGGGCGAAAGCCUGACGGAGCAACGCCGCGUGAGUGAUGAAGGUCUUCGGAUCGUAAAACUCUGUUAUUAGGGAAGAACAUAUGUGUAAGUAACUGUGCACAUCUUGACGGUACCUAAUCAGAAAGCCACGGCUAACUACGUG
rnacentral:rRNA from 1 species